rnacentral:rRNA from 1 species
ACGUACGCUGGCGGUAGGCUUAACACAUGCAAGUCGUGCGAGAAAGUAUCUUCGGAUAUGAGUAGAGCGGCGGACGGGUGAGUAACGCGUAGGAAUCUACCUAGUAGAAGGGGAUAGCCCGGGGAAACCCGGAUUAAUACCGUAUACCUCCUUCGGGAGAAAGAAGGCCUCUCUUUGAAGCUUUCGCUACUAGAUGAGCCUGCGUAAGAUUAGCUUGUUGGUGAGGUAAAGGCUCACCAAGGCGACGAUCUUUAGCUGGUCUGAGAGGACGAUCAGCCACAUUGGGACUGAGACACGGCCCAGACUCCUACGGGAGGCAGCAGUGGGGAAUCUUAG